rnacentral:rRNA from 1 species
ACGGCUCAGUAACRCGUAGUUAACCUAACCUAUGGAUGGGGAUAACCUCGGGAAACUGAGAAUAAUCCCCGAUAGGCCACAAUACCUGGAAUGGUUUGUGGCUGAAAUGAUUUAUCGCCAUAGGAUGGGACUGCGGCCUAUCAGCUAGUUGGUGAGGUAAUGGCCCACCAAGGCUAUAACAGGUACGGGCUCUGAGAGGAGGGGCCCGGAGAUGGGUACUGAGACACGGACCCAGGCCCUAUGGGGCGCAGCAGGCGAGAAACCUUUGCAAUGUGCGAAAGCACGACAAGGUUAAUCCGAGUGUCUUCUGCUAAAGAAGUCUUUUGUUAGUCAUAGAACCACUGAUGAAUAAGGGGUGGGCAAGUUCUGGUGUCAGCCGCCGCGGUAAAACCAGCACCUCGAGUGGUCAGGAGGUUUAUUGGGCCUAAAGCAUCCGUAGCCGGUUGUUUAAGUUUCCGGUUAAAUCUAUACGCUUAACGUAUAGGCUGCCGAAAAUACUGGACAGCUAGGGAGUGGGAGAGGUACACGGUACUCAAUAGGAAGGGGUAAAAUCCUUUGAUCUGUUGAUGACCACCUGUGGCGAAGGCGGUGUACCAGAACACGUUCGACGGUGAGGGAUGAAAGCUGGGGGAGCAAACCGGAUUAGAUACCCGGGUAGUCCCAGCUGUAAACGAUGCAGACUCGGUGAUGCAUUGGCUUGUGGCCAAUGCAGUGCCGCAGGGAAGCCGUUAAGUCUGCCGCCUGGGAAGUACGUACGCAAGUAUGAAACUUAAAGGAAUUGGCGGGGGAGCAC